rnacentral:lncRNA from 1 species
GCCGCUAUGCAAGGCGUGACUUUGCUCCUCCUUUGCCUUCUGACAUGAUUGUGAGGCCUCCCCAGCCAUGUGGAACUAUGAGCAAGCUGAACCUCAGAGGGCUUAGUGAUGUGGUUGAGGCACAGCCACCAAGGAUCAAUGACUGAGCCUCAAAACCACCUCUUCUGAGAGUACUGCUUUCUUACCCGAGGAUGGCCCAUCAGGGUGAUCUGGAAGGCAGAAGACGGGAGUUUUUCUGUGAACUCACUGUGGUGGGGGUGGUCCUUGGAAAAGUACUGAGUACACAGAAGUGGCGACGGGCAAAUGGAGAUCCUGGAAAAGGAGGUUUUCUACCAAAAUAUCCUUGUGAACAUGAGGACAGCUUCCAAACUGAGAAAGAGUGGGCUCGAGAAAGCUCUAAUGCUUCUUUCCCUGACACGAAGUGCUUCGUGCAGUGUUUGGCAUCAACAUGUCGGAGCCGUGGCAACGUUCUCCGUGCAUCCCCGCUUGGGCGUCAUUUUGGAUGUAUGAAUAUGGACUGAAGGUCAAACUCAGACCAGAGGCAGGACCCAGGAUCAGAGGCCAGGCUGAUGCCAAGGGUAAAGGACAGGAUGAGAGGACUCUGCAAAAUUGUUCUCCUUUGGCCGGUACCCCUGCCUUGGUUUCUCUCCAGCCCCACACAGUCAGGGAAGAGAAAAGGGAAAAGAGAAGUUUGACUGCCACUGAUAAGAAGGCACAUUAAACACUGUCCUCAUAAUCAAAUUAUUGGCAGGGACUUGACACUUGGUAAAGGUUCAGCUGUGAACUGAACAGUCACUAAUCCUGUGGCAGCUGAAAAUCCUGACCCAGAGAACAGGUGGAGAAGCACCGUACUGACACCAGAAUCCCCAGGAUGCUAUUCAGUUGACACAGAGACCACACGCUUCAUAGUAUUCAGAGCACUGGACUUGGGACCAGAAGUUCCAGCUCAUCACUGCUGUAUAACUGUAAAGAAAUCAUUUAGCCUCUCGAGCCUCAUUCUUUGUGUGAGAUGGAGAUAAUCCUACUCAUCUCAUAGGGCAGUUGUGAGGACUGAAUGAGUUUAAAUGCAAAAUGCUCUUAAGACACUGUGAUAUAUCUGCAUCCACCCACUUAUCUCCCUGCUUACCUAUCUCUGUAAAAUAGGGAUAAUAAUAGUUACUACUUCACAGAGUUGUAAGAGUUGAGUGAAAAGGUGAAUGAUGGAGGCUGAGGUGGGCGGACCAUCUGAGGUCAGGAGUUGGAGACCAGCCUGGCCAACAUGGUGAAACCCCGUCUCUACUAAAAAUACAAAAAUUAGCUGAAUGUGGUGGUGUGUGCCUUUAAUCUCAGCUACUUGGGAGGCUGAGGCAGGAGAAUCGAUUGAACCCAGGAGGUGGAGGUUGCAGUGAGCCGAGAUUACGCCACUGCACUCCAGGCUCCAGCCUG